rnacentral:rRNA from 1 species
UUGAACGCUGGCGGCAUGCCUUACACAUGCAAGUCGAACGGUAGAGGGGCAACCCUUGAGAGUGGCGAACGGGUGAGUAAUAUAUCGGAACGUGCCCAGUCGUGGGGGAUAACGCAGCGAAAGCUGCGCUAAUACCGCAUACGAUCUAUGGAUGAAAGCGGGGGAUCGCAAGACCUCGCGCGAUUGGAGCGGCCGAUAACAGAUUAGGUAGUUGGUGGGGUAAAA